GAAAUGCGAUAAGUAAUGUGAAUUGCAGAAUUCAGUGAAUCAUCGAAUCUUUGAACGCACCUUGCGCUCCUUGGUAUUCCUUGGAGCAUGCCUGUUUGAGUAUCAUGAAAUCUUCAAAGUAAAUCUUUUGUUAACUCAAUUGGUUUCUACUUUGGUAUUGGAGGUCUUUGCAGCUUCACACCUGCUCCUCAUUGUUCAUUAGCUGGAUCUCAGUGUUAUGCUUGGUUCCACUCGGCGUGAUAAGUUAUCUAUCGCUGAGGACACUGUAAAAGGUGGCCAAGGUAAAUGCAGAUGAACCGCUUCUAAUAGUCCAUUGACUUGGACAAUACUUUUAUGAUCUGAUCUCAAAUCAGGUAUGACUACCCGCUGAACUUAAGC
rnacentral:misc_RNA from 1 species